CAGGGCUGCUGUGUCUUUGGCUCACACGUCUCCCCUCCAUCACCAUUCUCCAUUGUUUGCACACCUGAAUUUACACAACACCGACAUUCUCUUUGGUGUGUUAAAUGUCUCAAAAGAUUACCGACGGACCACCAAACGUGAAUCUGAAAGUGUCUCAAUGAAAGAAUCAAAUUUCAUCUCAUCAGGGAUUGGCAUCUGACGAAAAAAGGCCACAAGACUAAAAGAACGAAAGCUUUUUUUAACCAUCAAUUUCAGCCAGGGACGCUACAAGACAGUAGAACACCG